UGUAGCCCUGAGACAAUAGGAUGACAUCACGACCAAUGAGAACGGCCUGUAGGGGGCGCAAGGAUUCACUUCUCUCUUGGACACUGACGGGUCUCGACACGCAAAUUCUGCUCCUGGCGUUGGCCGUCAGUGGAAGAGCGUAGCUUCGGUGGAUUUUGUGACGAGCGGAUUUACAAUGAGGGAAUGCUGUGAACGGGAAAAUGAUGAGCUGUCCUAACUUGCCCAGACAUGCCAUGAUGACGUCACAGCUGACGUCACAGGAUGUCCGGAACUGGUGGUCAUAGCUGCGAUGCUUUGCAACCUGCCUCUGUGCUCCGUCGCCCGGCGAUGGUCAGCGGCCUUUACGGGCCGCUUUCUUCAAGAUGGCGUCGUUGAUCUUCAACUAAACUCCUUCUCUCCACUCUCUCUCUAUCUAUUUUUUAUUUUUUAUGACCACGUCUAUCCGGAAACGCACAGGGUGGUCUGGACACUAGUUAGACGCUCCCCAAUUAGUGUGAUGACUCAUUGGAUGAUGCUGAUUAAUGUGGGGGGUCCCAAUUAGCUCUAAUUGCUAAUUAAUGGCGUCCAGAAGCCUUGUAGCGUUUCCGGAUAAGCGUGGUCAGUACUUACUGCUGACGACGUAGCUCUACUGGCUUCAUCCCGCAAAGACCUCAGCAUGAUGAUGAAGCAUGUAACGGACUUCGUAAAGGUGUCGGGAGCGCAGCUCAGUUUAAACAAGUCAUCAGGGGCAUGGCUAGGUUGGUGGAAGGAGAGGCCAAUGAGUUACAUGGAUACAGACUGGACUCAAAGUCUGAAGCGCUAUCUAGGAGUUGACAUGGACAUGUUCAAGAUGAGAAAAGACCGAUGGCUCAACACGACGCAGCUUCUCAACGGAAAAUUACAACUUUGGCGUGGAAGAACAUUGAGAUACCUCAACAGAGCUUUUGUUUGCAACACCGUUCUGUAUCCAAUAGCGUUAUACAAAGCUCAAGUGACACUAAGUCAUGCGCAAACUAUCCAAAAGAUUCACAG